rnacentral:rRNA from 1 species
GCACGCAGGUGGUAAGUUAAGUUGAUUUGUGAAAUCCCUGGGCUCAACCUAGGAAAGCAUUCAAAACUAAUUUACUAGAGUCUUGUAGGGGGGAAUAGAAUUCCAUGUGUAGCGGUGAAAUGCGUAGAGAUAUGGAGGAAUACCGAUGGCGAAGGCAAUUCCCUGGACAAAGACUGACACUCAUGUGCGAAAGCAUGGGGAGCAAACAGGAUUAGAUACUCUGGUAGUCCAUGCCGUAAACGAUGUCGAUUAGGAGGUUGCUACGUUUAAGUAGUGGCUUCCGAAGCUAGCGCAUUAAAUCGACCGUCUGGGGAGUACGGCCGCAAGGUUAAAACUCAAAUGAAUUGACGGGGGCCCGCACAAGCGGUGGAGCAUGUGGUUUAAUUCGAUGCAACGCGAAAAACCUUACCUACUCUUGACAUCCAAAGAAAUCUGCAGAGAUGUAGAUGUGCCUUCGGGAACUUUGAGACAGGUGCUGCAUGGCUGUCGUCAGCUCGUGUUGUGAAAUGUUGGGUUAAGUCCCGCAACGAGCGCAACCCUUAUUCUUUGUUGCCAUCGAUUCGGUCGGGAACUCAAAGAAGACUGCCGGUGAUAAACCGGAGGAAGGAGAGGACGACGUCAAGUCAUCAUGGCCCUUACGAGUAGGGCUACACACGUGCUACAAUGGCGUAUACAGAGAGAAGCGAACUCGUAAGAGCGAGCCAAACUAAAAAAGUACGUCACAGUCCGGAUUGGAGUCUGCAACUCGACUCCAUGAAGUAGGAAUCGCUAGUAAUCGCGAAUCAGCAUGUCGCGGUGAAUACGUUCUCGGGCCUUGUACACACCGCCCGUCACACCAUGGGAGUGGGUUGUAAAAGAAGCAGGUAGCUUAACCUGUUCAGGAAAGCGCCUACCACUUUAUGAUUCAUGACUGGGGUGAAGUCGUAACAAGGUAACCGUAGGGGAACCUGUG